UACGUAGGGUGCGAGCGUUAAUCGGAAUUACUGGGCGUAAAGCGUGCGCAGGCGGUAAUGCAAGACAGAUGUGAAAUCCCCGGGCUUAACCUGGGAACUGCAUUUGUGACUGCAUUGCUGGAGUGCGGCAGAGGGGGAUGGAAUUCCGCGUGUAGCAGUGAAAUGCGUAGAUAUGCGGAGGAACACCGAUGGCGAAGGCAAUCCCCUGGGCCUGCACUGACGCUCAUGCACGAAAGCGUGGGAGCAAACAGGAUU
rnacentral:rRNA from 1 species